rnacentral:rRNA from 1 species
CUAGCUACAGGCUUAACACAUGCAAGUCGAGGGGCAGCAUUUCAUUUUGCUUGCAAACUGGAGAUGGCGACCGGCGCACGGGUGAGUAACACGUAUCCAACCUGCCGAUAACUCGGGGAUAGCCUUUCGAAAGAAAGAUUAAUACCCGAUGGUAUAAUCAGACCGCAUGGUCUUGUUAUUAAAGAAUUUCGGUUAUCGAUGGGGAUGCGUUCCAUUAGGCAGUUGGUGAGGUAACGGCUCACCAAACCUUCGAUGGAUAGGGGUUCUGAGAGGAAGGUCCCCCACAUUGGAACUGAGACACGGUCCAAACUCCUACGGGAGGCAGCAGUGAGGAAUAUUGGUCAAUGGGCGCAGGCCUGAACCAGCCAAGUAGCGUGAAGGAUGACUGCCCUAUGGGUUGUAAACUUCUUUUAUAUGGGAAUAAAGUUUUCCACGUGUGGAAUUUUGUAUGUACCAUAUGAAUAAGGAUCGGCUAACUCCGUGCCAGCAGCCGCGGUAAUACGGAGGAUCCGAGCGUUAUCCGGAUUUAUUGGGUUUAAAGGGAGCGUAGGUGGACAGUUAAGUCAGUUGUGAAAGUUUGCGGCUCAACCGUAAAAUUGCAGUUGAUACUGGCUGUCUUGAGUACAGUAGAGGUGGGCGGAAUUCGUGGUGUAGCGGUGAAAUGCUUAGAUAUCACGAAGAACUCCGAUUGCGGAGGCAGCUCACUGGACUGCAACUGACACUGAUGCUCGAAAGUGUGGGUAUCAAACAGGAUUAGAUACCCUGGUAGUCCACACAGUAAACGAUGAAUACUCGCUGUUUGCGAUAUACAGUAAGCGGCCAAGCGAAAGCAUUAAGUAUUCCACCUGGGGAGUACGCCGGCAACGGUGAAACUCAAAGGAAUUGACGGGGGCCCGCACAAGCGGAGGAACAUGUGGUUUAAUUCGAUGAUACGCGAGGAACCUUACCCGGGCUUAAAUUGCAUUUGAAUAUAUUGGAAACAGUAUAGCCGUAAGGCAAAUGUGAAGGUGCUGCAUGGUUGUCGUCAGCUCGUGCCGUGAGGUGUCGGCUUAAGUGCCAUAACGAGCGCAACCCUUAUCUUUAGUUACUAACAGGUCAUGCUGAGGACUCUAGAGAGACUGCCGUCGUAAGAUGUGAGGAAGGUGGGGAUGACGUCAAAUCAGCACGGCCCUUACGUCCGGGGCUACACACGUGUUACAAUGGGGGGUACAGAAGGCAGCUACCUGGUGACAGGAUGCUAAUCCCAAAAGCCUCUCUCAGUUCGGAUCGAAGUCUGCAACCCGACUUCGUGAAGCUGGAUUCGCUAGUAAUCGCGCAUCAGCCAUGGCGCGGUGAAUACGUUCCCGGGCCUUGUACACACCGCCCGUCAAGCCAUGAAAGCCGGGGGUACCUGAAGUACGUAACCGCAAGGAGCGUCCUAGGGUAAAACUGGUAAUUGGGGC